UACGUAGGGUGCGAGCGUUAAUCGGAAUUAUUGGGCGUAAAGGGUGCGCAGGCGGUUCGUUGUGUCGGCGGUGAAAUCCCCGAGCUCAACCUGGGAAUGGCCGUUGAAACUGGCGAACUGGAGUGUGGCAGAGGGGGGUGGAAUUCCGCGUGUAGCAGUGAAAUGCGUAGAGAUGCGGAGGAACACCGAUGGCGAAGGCAGCCCCCUGGGCUGACACUGACGCUCAGGCACGAAAGCGUGGGGAGCAAACAGG
rnacentral:rRNA from 1 species